rnacentral:rRNA from 1 species
AACGAACGCUGGCGGCAGACUUAACACAUGCAAGUCGAACGCCCCGCAAGGGGAGUGGCAGACGGGUGAGUAACGCGUGGGAACAUACCCUUUCCUGCGGAAUAGCUCUGGGAAACUGGAAUUAAUACCGCAUACGCCCUACGGGGGAAAGAUUUAUCGGGGAAGGAUUGGCCCGCGUUGGAUUAGCUAGUUGGUGGGGUAAAGGCCUACCAAGGCGACGAUCCAUAGCUGGUCUGAGAGGAUGAUCAGCCACAUUGGGACUGAGACACGGCCCAAACUCCUACGGGAGGCAGCAGUGGGGAAUAUUGGACAAUGGGCGCAAGCCUGAUCCAGCCAUGCCGCGUGAGUGAUGAAGGCCUUAGGGUUGUAAAGCUCUUUCACCGAUGAAGAUAAUGACGGUAGCCGGAGAAGAAGCCCCGGCUAACUUCGUGCCAGCAGCCGCCGUAAAAC